rnacentral:rRNA from 1 species
ACGAACGCUGGCGGCGUGCUUCACACCUGCAAGUCGCACGGAAAGGCCCUGCUUUUGUGGGGUGCUCGAGUGGCGAACGGGUGAGUAGCACGUGAGUAACCUGCCCUUGACUUUGGGAUAACUUCAGGAAACUGGGGCUAAUACCGGAUAGGAGCUCCUGCUGCAUGGUGGGGGUUGGAAAGUUUCGGCGGUUGGGGAUGGACUCGCGGCUUAUCAGCUUGUUGGUGGGGUAGUGGCUUACCAAGGCUUUGACGGGUAGCCGGCCUGAGAGGGUGACCGGCCACAUUGGGACUGAGAUACGGCCCAGACUCCUACGGGAGGCAGCAGUGGGGAAUAUUGCACAAUGGGCGGAAGCCUGAUGCAGCAACGCCGCGUGCGGGAUGACGGCCUUUGGGUUGUAAGCCGCUUUCGCCUGUGACGAAGCGUGAGUGACGGUAAUGGGUAAAGAAGCACCGGCUAACUACGUG